rnacentral:antisense_RNA from 1 species
CUUGAUCGACCCGAGCCACAGCGGCGUCUCCCGGUCUUGACCGUAGGCGGCCAGCAGGGCCUGCGCCUC